CCUACGGGAGGCAACAGUGAGGAAUAUUGGUCAAUGGACGAGAGUCUGAACCAGCCAAGUAGCGUGAAGGAUGACUGCCCUAUGGGUUGUAAACUUCUUUUAUAAAGGAAUAAAACGAGGCACGUGUGCCUUUUUGCAUGUACUUUAUGAAUAAGGAUCGGCUAACUCCGUGCCAGCAGCCGCGGUAAUACGGAGGAUCCGAGCGUUAUCCGGAUUUAUUGGGUUUAAAGGGAGCGUAGAUGGGUUGUUAAGUCAGUUGUGAAAGUUUGCGGCUCAACCGUAAAAUUGCAAUUGAUACUGGCAGUCGUGAGUACAGUUGAGGUAAGCGGAAUUCGUGGUGUAGCGGUGAAAUGCUUAGAUAUCACGAAGAACCCCGAUUGCGAAGGCAGCUUACUAAACUGUGACUGACAUUGAUGCUCGAAAGUGUGGGUAUCAAACAGGAUUAGAUACCCCUGUAGUC
rnacentral:rRNA from 1 species